rnacentral:lncRNA from 1 species
UAACCUUCCUGUGGAGAGGGGAUGCUUACAGACGAGGCUGAAAAAGAGGAAUUAGCCAGCUGUGUCAAAACUGAAGAGUGGAACAUCUAAUACAACAAGCACAGGAGAUGCAAAGACUAGAAACUAGGAGACUUCAUCAGCAUCUCCCAUAGGAUGGGCCAUUCCAUUCCUGAAUGAUUGAAUGGGACCAUUACAGGCAAGAAGAAAGUCAAGCUUCAAUAACUCCUACUUUGUCAUCAGAGGUCCCACUGUUUGGAAUAAUGUAAGGGUGGGUUCAUUUCAGCCUGGAGAAGCUGGGCUCAAUGGGACCAAUGAAGUCACAGUCAAGAACUUACUGAGAUGGAGGAAGGACAAAGGAAGAAACUAUAGAUUACAAGAAAGAAAUGGAGAUAAGAAUGAAGAAUGUGAAGAGAAAGGGGAAUACAGUGGGAAGAGAAACCAGAAGAAAAUGGGAAGCAGCCACAUGAGGAGUUACUUG